UACGUAGGUGGCAAGCGUUGUCCGGAAUUAUUGGGCGUAAAGGGCGCGUAGGCGGCCUGCUAAGUCGGAUGUGAAAUCCCUCGGCUCAACCGAGGAACUGCAUCCGAUACUGGCGGGCUUGAAUCCGGGAGAGGGAUGUGGAAUUCCAGGUGUAGCGGUGAAAUGCGUAGAUAUCUGGAGGAACACCGGUGGCGAAGGCGGCAUCCUGGACCGAUAUUGACGCUGAUGCGCGAAAGCCAGGGGAGCAAACGGG
rnacentral:rRNA from 1 species